rnacentral:misc_RNA from 1 species
UCCUGGUUAACCCAGGCAGUCUCGUUAGAGUUCCCGACAUGACUCGCUGGCAACUAACGACAGGGGUUGCGCUCGUUAUAGGACUUAACCCAACAUCUCACGACACGAGUUGACGACAGCCUUGCAGCACCUGUGUUCCCGUUCCCUUUCGGGCACAGCCCACUUUCGAGGGCCUCCAGGACAUGUCAAGGGUAGGUAAGGUUUUUCGCGUUGCAUCGAAUUAAUCCACAUAAUCCACCGCUUGUGCGGGUCCCCGUCAAUUCCUUUGAGUUUUAGCCUUGCGGCCGUACUCCCCAGGCGGGGCACUUAAUGCGUUAGCUACGGCACGGAAGGAGUCGAUACCUCCCACACCUAGUGCCCAUCGUUUACGGCGUGGACUAC